rnacentral:misc_RNA from 1 species
UGAUUUGGCUCACUUGACUUCGCUUCUAAAAAUCUUUUCAUACUUCUCUUUCCUUAAACAUCAAGUAAAAA